rnacentral:rRNA from 1 species
CAGUCGAGCGAAUGGAUUAAGAGCUUGCUCUUAUGAAGUUAGCGGCGGACGGGUGAGUAACACGUGGGUAACCUACCCAUAAGACUGGGAUAACUCCGGGAAACCGGGGCUAAUACCGGAUAAUAUUUUGAACUGCAUAGUUCGAAAUUGAAAGGCGGCUUCGGCUGUCACUUAUGGAUGGACCCGCGUCGCAUUAGCUAGUUGGUGAGGUAACGGCUCACCAAGGCGACGAUGCGUAGCCGACCUGAGAGGGUGAUCGGCCACACUGGGACUGAGACACGGCCCAGACUCCUACGGGAGGCAGCAGUAGGGAAUCUUCCGCAAUGGACGAAAGUCUGACGGAGCAACGCCGCGUGAGUGAUGAAGGCUUUCGGGUCGUAAAACUCUGUUGUUAGGGAAGAACAAGUGCUAGUUGAAUAAGCUGGCACCUUGACGGUACCUAACCAGAAAGCCACGGCUAACUACGUGCCAGCAGCCGCGGUAAUACGUAGGUGGCAAGCGUUAUCCGGAAUUAUUGGGCGUAAAGCGCGCGCAGGUGGUUUCUUAAGUCUGAUGUGAAAGCCCACGGCUCAACCGUGGAGGGUCAUUGGAAACUGGGAGACUUGAGUGCAGAAGAGGAAAGUGGAAUUCCAUGUGUAGCGGUGAAAUGCGUAGAGAUAUGGAGGAACACCAG